rnacentral:rRNA from 1 species
UACGUAGGGUGCGAGCGUUGUCCGGAAUUAUUGGGCGUAAAGAGCUUGUAGGCGGUCUGUCGCGUCUGCUGUGAAAAUCCGGGGCUCAACCCCGGACUUGCAGUGGGUACGGGCAGACUAGAGUGUGGUAGGGGAGACUGGAAUUCCUGGUGUAGCGGUGAAAUGCGCAGAUAUCAGGAGGAACACCAAUAGCGAAGGCAGCUCGCUGGGACGGUACUGACGCUAAGGUGCGAAAGCGUGGGGAGCGAACAGG